ensembl:snoRNA small nucleolar RNA SNORA3/SNORA45 family
AGCGAGGCUAGAGUCACGCCUGAACACUGACCUGUUGUUCUGGUGUGCUAGAGUGCUCGCAGAGAAACUGCUCUUUGCUUAUUCAUUGGCUGUAGUCUGAUGUGGCCCAGUCAAUCACCGGCUCAGAUACACUA